GAGGUAGACAGAAAUAUCUCGGAAGCAGACUCAAACUGUUAUUUCUGACCCCAAGGCUCUUUUCCACUACUAGACUUGAGAGAAUGGAGUGAAAAAUAAAAAGAAAAGUGCAAUGAGUGACAGGGUGCAAACCCAAAAUUUUGGCUGGAGCGCAAGGGAAAGAAGGUUCCUGGCUUUCUCGGAAUUCUGGGAGAGAGACUUCUGGGGGUUCAGUGCACGAAUUUCUGGGGGUUAGCUUGGGAGCAGUGAGAGAGUUCACAGCUACUGACUUCGGUCUCCUCAGAUCCUGCUUGUGAUUUCCCUGUGUAAUUUGGUUCCUGUUGAUGGCGAGAGAUUCCUGCCAGCCAUUUCCUGAUAUGACUUCGUUCUAUCUGUGCUACUUAGAAGAGAGAAAAGCAGCUUGAUGGACCUGAACUGUUACUGGACUUCCACAGGUGCUAGCCGGUACCUUUGGUGACGGGGCCAUUUUGGUCACCAAUGUGAUCCAGCCCACGUGAUCGGAUACCUUUACCAACAACUGUUUUGGAGCAGCUAAAAGACGAGGGAAGCCAGGAUAGGGAAUGGGGGAGGGGACAUAGGACAAUCGGGAAGGUUGUGAGAUAGCAUCAAGCCAAAGAAGUGAGACUUGUGAAAGUCUCUUAGAUGUGGGUUAAGCAGAGUUUUAUUAGCCUGGGGAUCUCCUUGGCCCUCCACCCACUGCCAGUCCUUGUUAUUUACUUCAUUAAACCUUUUUUCAACAUUUAUACAUCAGUCAGAUUGUGUUUUUGAGAGCUUCCGGCCUGAGGGUAGCCAUCUUGCCUUCAGAGCCUGAGAGGAGCAGAGACAAAAGACUUGAUUCUACCAACCUGUGAAGUGACCAAAGCGGGUUAUUUCAGGCCAGCCUGCCUCUCUGGCAGUGGCACUAAAAAUACUAUGCUUUUAUUCAUCCACAAACUGGAAUAUUUCCCCAGGAGGUUCAUGCAUUAACCAUUUUAUGGAUUUGGAGGAGAUAAUGAUUGCAGUCAUGAUGAAGAAAGUUUAGCUCCACAGCUCCACUCAACAAUCACAAUGGCUCCUACAAAUGAGAGCAUCUCGCCCCUGGAUUCCCAUAGUUGAGAACUGGGGCAUCUCCAUGGAUGAGUCAUCUGAAUGAAAUCAGAGCACCAUGACUGGUUUUAUGGGUCCUGGAUAGGAGAGAGAGAAGCAAAGUCAUUGGACCUAAUCAAAUGAGUGGUAUAAUUUCUUGUAUAUCAACUGCAGGCAUGGUAAGUGUAAGAAAAAUCAGAAUGUUGGUUUCAAUUCCUGGUGGGUUUCUGAACCUGCCCUGAGACUUAGAAAGAACAUUGCCCUCCUUUACAUGCUUUGCUAUAGUCACAAAUUUUUUAUU